rnacentral:rRNA from 1 species
UGGGAUUUGCGCAUGGGGGCAACCCUGACGCAGCAAUACCGCGUGAGUGAUGAAGGUUUUCGGAUCGUAAAACUCUGUUAUUGGGGAAGAAGAAGUGACGGUACCCAAUGAGGAAGUCCCGGCUAACUACGUGCCAGCAGCCGCGGUAAUA